CACGGAGGAUCCAAGCGUUAUCCGGAUUUAUUGGGUUUAAAGGGUGCGUAGGCGGCCUGUUAAGUCAGGGGUGAAAGACGGUAGCUUAACUGUCGCAGUGCCCUUGAUACUGAUGGGCUUGAAUAUACUUGAGGUAGGCGGAAUGUGACAAGUAGCGGUGAAAUGCAUAGAUAUGUCACAGAACACCAAUUGCGAAGGCAGCUUACUAAGGUAUGAUUGACGCUGAGGAGCGAAAGCAUGGGGAGCGAACAGG
rnacentral:rRNA from 1 species